rnacentral:rRNA from 1 species
ACGGGAGGCAGCAGUAGGGAAUAUUGGGCAAUGGACGCAAGUCUGACCCAGCCAUGCCGCGUGCAGGAAGAAGGCCUUCUGGGUUGUAAACUGCUUUUAUCUGGGAAGAAAAAGCCCCUGCGGGGGAAACUGACGGUACCAGAGGAAUAAGCACCGGCUAACUCCGUGCCAGCAGCCGCGGUAAUACGGAGGGUGCAAGCGUUGUCCGGAUUUAUUGGGUUUAAAGGGUGCGUAGGCGGCCCGUUAAGUCCGGGGUGAAAGCCCACAGCUCAACUGUGGAACUGCCCUGGAUACUGGCGGGCUUGAGUCCAGACGAGGUUGGCGGAAUGGAUGCUGUAGCGGUGAAAUGCAUAGAUAGCAUCCAGAACCCCGAUUGCGUAGGCAGCUGACUAGGCUGGUACUGACGCUGAGGCACGAAAGCGUGGGGAGCGAACAGGAUUAGAUACCCUGGUA